CGGCGGACGGGUGAGUAAUGUCUGUGAAACUGCCUGAUGGAGGGGGAUAACUACUGGAAACGGUAGCUAAUACCGCAUAAUGUCGCAAGACCAAAGAGGGGGACCUUCGGGGCUCUUGCCAUCAGAUGUGCCCAGAUGGGAUUUGCUAGUAGGUGGGGGAAUGGCUCACCUAGGCGACGAUCCCUAGCUGGUCUGAGAGGAUGACCAGCCACACUGUAACUGAGACACGGUACUCACUCCUACGGGAGGCGGCAGUGGGGAAUAUUGCACAAUGGGCGCAAGCCUGAUGCAUCCAUGCCGCGUGUAUAAAGAAGGCCUUCUGGUUGUAAAUUACUUUCAGCGGGGAGGAAGGGGUUGAGGUUAAUAACCUCUUCAAUUGACGCUACCCGCAGAAAAAACACCGGCUAACUCCGUGCCACCAGCCGCGGUAAUACGGAGGGUGCAAGCGUUAAUCUGAAUUACUGGGCGUAAAGCGCACGCAGGCGGUCUGUCAAGUAUGAUGUGAAAUCCCCCGGCUCAACCUGGGAACUGCAUUCUAAACUGGCAGGCUAUAGUCUUGUAGAGGGGGGUAUAAUUUCAGGUGUAGCGGUGAAAUGCGUAUAGAUAUGGAGGAAUACCGGUGGCGAAGGCGGCCCCCUGUACAAAGACUGACGCUCAGGUGCGAAAGCGUGAGGAGCCAACAGGAUUAGAUACCC
rnacentral:rRNA from 1 species